AAUGACUCUGGAUCAUUUAAUCUAGGUUCGAAUCCUAGUUCCCCAG
rnacentral:tRNA from 1 species